CGCAGAAGACGGCAUAGG
rnacentral:sRNA from 1 species